UACGUAGGGAGCGAGCGUUGUCCGAAUUCACUGGGCGUAUAGCGCGCGUAGGCGGGUUAUUAAGUUGGUGGUGAAAUCCCGGAGCUCAACUUCGGAACUGCCGUCAAAACUGGUAGCCUUGAGGUAUGGAGAGGGAAUUGGAAUUCCUGGUGUAGCGGUGAAAUGCGUAGAUAUCAGGAGGAACGCCCAUGGCGAAGGCAGAUUCCUGGCCAUAUCCUGACGCUGAGGUGCGAAAGCUAGGGUAGCGAACGGGAUUAGAUACCCCGGUAGUCCUAGCCGUAAACGAUGGAUACUAGGUGUUAGAGGUAUCGACCCCUCUAGUGCCGUAGCUAACGCAUUAAGUAUCCCGCCUGGGGAGUACGACCGCAAGGUUGAA
rnacentral:rRNA from 1 species